GACGAACGCUGGCGGCGUGCUUAACACAUGCAAGUCGAACGGAAAGGCCCUGCUUUUGUUGGGUGCUCGAUUGGCGAACGGGUGAGUAACACGUGGGUAACCGGCCCUUGACUUUGGGAUAACUGCAGGUAACUGGGGCUAAUACCGGAUAGUAGCUCCUGCUGCUUGUUGUGGGUUGGAAAGUUUUGGUGGGUGGGGAUGGACUCGCGGCUAGUCAGCUUGUUGGUGGGGUAGUGGGUUCCCAAGGUUUUGGCGGGUGGCCGGCCUGGGAGGGUGACAGGCCACAGUGGGACUGGGGAGCGGCCCAGAGUGCAACGGGAGGAAUGAGUGGAGAACAGUGCACAAUGGGCCGAAGCAUGAAGCAGCAACGCCGCGUGCGAGAUGACGGUCUUAGGGGUGUAACCCGCUUUCGACUGUAACGAAGCGUGAGUGACGGUAACGGGUCAAGAAGCAACGGCUAACUACGUG
rnacentral:rRNA from 1 species